rnacentral:tRNA from 1 species
GGGGAUGUAGCUCAGUGGCAGAGCGCUUGCCUGGAGUGUAAGGUCCUGGGUUUGAUCCUCAACACCA